GACGAACGCUGGCGGCGUGCCUAAUACAUGCAAGUUGAGCGCUGAAGGUUGGUACUUGUACCCACUGGAUGAGCAGCGAACGGGUGAGUAACGCGUGGGGAAUCUGCCUUUGAGCGGGGGACAACAUUUGGAAACGAAUGCUAAUACCGCAUAAAAACUUUAAACACAAGUUUUAAGUUUGAAAGAUGCAAUUGCAUCACUCAAAGAUGAUCCCGCGUUGUAUUAGCUAGUUGGUGAGGUAAGGGCUCACCAAGGCGAUGAUACAUAGCCGACCUGAGAGGGUGAUCGGCCACAUUGGGGCUGAGACACGGCCCAAACUCCUACGGGAGGCAGCAGUAGGGAAUCUUCGGCAAUGGACGAAAGUCUGACCGAGCAACGCCGCGUGAGUGAAGAAGGUUUUCGGAUCGUAAAACUCUGUUGGUAGAGAAGAACGUUGGUGAGAGUGGAAAGCUCAUCAAGUGACGGUAACUACCCAGAAAGGGACGGCUAACUACGUG
rnacentral:rRNA from 1 species